GACCGGGCAGGCAGCCGGGACCAGCUGGAGACGGCAGCCAGGCGGGAGUGGAAUGGGCACAAGGGAGGGGCUGGUAGGGACGACCCCUCCCAUAUUGGGCCUUAAAGCAGAAGGGUGCCCCAGGUGGCGGUCCCAGAAGCCAGGUGGCCAGCCAAGGCAAGGGAGGAAGAAACCCCAGCUCCAGGGGCUCAGCAGGCAAAGGGAAUCACUGAGUGGGGGCACCACCCGUGGACUCCAAUAUCUCAACCUCUCCCUCCACAGGUUGGAGGUGGGAGGAACAACCCCCACCAAACCCAGAGCCGAAAACUGAGGGAGUUUUACAGACAGGACGGAGCUCCUGCACCUCGGAGCCUCAGUUGGGAAUGACCUGGGGUCUUGUCCUGAAGCUGAGUCUGGUGAACGUGCCCCAUUUGUAACAUGAGGGGUACUUCUCUGGAGGGACUGUAUGUUGACAGUGGCAGAGUGGAGCCCUGAAGUCCACCUGAGUGAAUAUACCAGGGCUUGAGAAUGGGCUUUGA
rnacentral:lncRNA from 10 species